GGGGGCGUAGUACAAUGGUAGUAUGACGGUCUCCAAAACCGUGGACGUGGGUUCGAUUCCUACCGCCCCUG
rnacentral:tRNA from 1 species